rnacentral:rRNA from 1 species
GAGUUUGAUCCUGGCUCAGAUUGAACGCUGGCGGCAGGCCUAACACAUGCAAGUCGAGCGGAUGACGGGAGCUUGCUCCUUGAUUCAGCGGCGGACGGGUGAGUAAUGCCUAGGAAUCUGCCUGGUAGUGGGGGACAACGUUUCGAAAGGAACGCUAAUACCGCAUACGUCCUACGGGAGAAAGCAGGGGACCUUCGGGCCUUGCGCUAUCAGAUGAGCCUAGGUCGGAUUAGCUAGUUGGUGGGGUAAAUGGCUCACCAAGGCGACGAUCCGUAGCUGGUCUGAGAGGAUCGAUCAGUCACACUGGAACUGAGACACGGUCCAGACUCUAC